AUUGAACGCUGGCGGCAGGCCUAACACAUGCAAGUCGAGCGGAUGACGGGAGCUUGCUCCUUGAUUCAGCGGCGGACGGGUGAGUAAUGCCUAGGAAUCUGCCUGGUAGUGGGGGACAACGUUUCGAAAGGAACGCUAAUACCGCAUACGUCCUACGGGAGAAAGCAGGGGACCUUCGGGCCUUGCGCUAUCAGAUGAGCCUAGGUCGGAUUAGCUAGUAGGUGAGGUAAUGGCUCACCUAGGCGACGAUCCGUAACUGGUCUGAGAGGAUGAUCAGUCACACUGGAACUGAGACACGGUCCAGACUCCUACGGGAGGCAGCAGUGGGGAAUAUUGGGCAAUGGGCGAAAGCCUGAUCCAGCCAUGCCGCGUGUGUGGAGAAGGUCUUCGGAUUGUAAAGCACUUUAAGUUGGGAGGAAGGGCAGUAAGCUAAUACCUUGCUGUUUUGACGUUACCGACAGAAUAAGCACCGGCUAACUCUGUGCCAGCAGCCGCCGUAAAAC
rnacentral:rRNA from 1 species